CCGCUUGAAAACUUCCGAAAAAAAAUUCUUAAGAAAUCUUAUGGUCAUAGAUACGUCGGACAUUGACGUAAUAUGAACAUCUCAUGGACAUUUAUGGACAUCCAGUUGAUAUCCAAUUAAGACUACAGACUAUUACGGAUAUCCAUUGGACAUCCACACCGGAAUAAUUGUACGUCCAUCGGACGCCCAUGUGCUAUGUGAGUGAACGGCAUACAAAAUAUCCUACACAAAACAUUGGGCAUAAGAAAGCUAUCGGCGAGAUGGGUGCCGCGUUUGCUCACAGUAGAACAAAAACGGAAAUGCAUGACAAUUUCAAAACACUGUUUAAACAUGUUUAAGCGCAAUCCGAAAGAGUUUCUGCGGUGUUUUAUCACUGUUGACGAAACAUGGAUCCACCAUUACACACCAGAAACGAAAGAACAGUCUAAACAGUAGACUAAAUCCGCCGAUUUUGCUCCAAAAAAGAGAAAAACGGUCCAUCGGCUAGAAAGAUCAUGGCCAAAGUUUUUUUGGGAUUUGCGAGGCAUUAUUUUCACCGACUAUUUGGAGAAGUAAAAGACAAUCACGGGACAGUACUGUGCUGAUUGGACCGACUCAACGCUAAAUUGAAGAAAAAAACGGCCUUAUUUAGCGAAAAAAGUGCUUUUCCACCAUGAUAACGCACCAGCUCAUUUGUUCGCAAUUGUUAUAGCAAAACUGGUCAAAUUACAUUAUUGCUCAUCCACCCUAUUUUCAGAUUUGGCUUUUUCCAAUUUUUAUUUAUUUUCAAACAUGAAGAAAUAGCUUGGCGGAAAGCGCUUUACGUCAAAUGAAGAAGUCAUCGCCGAAACAGAGGACUAUUUUAAGGAACUCGACCAAUCAUAUUUUUUAAACGUUAUAAAAAUGUUGGAAUAUCGCUGGGCUAAAUGUAUCGAGCUGAAAAAAGAUUAUGUAGAGAAAAAAAUAAAAAAAAUUUUUUUUA
rnacentral:lncRNA from 13 species